UAGUGAGUUUGAUCCUGGCUCAGGGUGAACGCUGGCGGCGUGCCUAAGACAUGCAAGUCGAACGCAGUAGCUUGCUACUGAGUGGCGCACGGGUGAGUAACACGUAACUGACCUACCCCGUAGUCCCGCACAACGGUCCGAAAGGACCGCUAAUUCGGGAUGUGAACCCGCACCGUGGUGCGUGUUUAAAGAUUCAUCGCUAUGGGAUGGGGUUGCGGCGCAUCAGCUAGUUGGUGGGGUAAUGGCCCACCAAGGCGACGAUGCAUAGCCGACCUGAGAGGGUGAUCGGCCACACUGGGGACUGAGACACGGGCCCAGACUCCGUACGGGAGGCAGCAGUA
rnacentral:rRNA from 1 species